rnacentral:misc_RNA from 1 species
GAGUGACACCUGCCUGAGACAACGCCAAGUGUAAACAGAGUCAAGUGAAGGAAGGCGACGGUCACUAAGGUACUGUUAACAGGUCACUAAGGUACUGUUAACAGGUCACUAAGGUUGAGGAGCUAACUAUCAAGCACCAGCUGAGUCGUAUACAAGAUGUUGAGUUAAGGUCGCAAAACAACACAUCGCAAGAAGCAGUCAUGGAAGAUCCAUUACAACUUCCUGAUAUGUCACUCAUGAUGAAUGACCAGCACCCUAAUACAAACCAGAUGAUGGUCAUCAUGAAUGAACUUCACAUUAACAAGAGUGCCCUGAAUUUGGAGGCUGCUCCACUGAUUCAAAGAAUGCUGCAUGACUCUGAGGUAUAUGAAGAAGAGGAAGAAGAUGAAAAGGAGAAGGUUGACGUUUUUGAAGAAUGAGGAAUAUGAUAAUUUAUUACAAAAUUUACCUGUAAGUGCAGGGUAUUUGAAAUUAGUAACUUUCUAGACUCAUAUAUUGUAAUUGAUGAUGCUGUACAUAAUUUUUGGGGGUGUUUUAUGUUAGGCCUCCAGAGUCAUGUUCAUUUUAUUUAGUGUUUUGUAUGUUAUUCACAUAGAAGUUGUAUAUUGUUAAUCUGCCUAUAUUCCCUCUCCUGGCUACUGUGGAGUAAGCAUGCAGUGUUGGCACAUGGCAUGAUAAAGAUAUCACCCUUGGGGGAACUGUUGAGCAAGGUCACCCUCACCUUUGUUGCAACAGUAGCAAGGUGUAGUCUAUAUAUCCUGUGUUAACCUUGACUCUUAUUUCAGAGUGUGUCCUAAUUAAUUAGUCAAAGGAGUGAGGCACUGCUUGAUUAAGACAUUCUAACAAUAGUGGGACUGUGACAUGUUUUAUUAUUUAGACAAAGUUAGACAAAGUAAUUUGUAAAAGAAUUGCCAUUGAUGCUACCUACAGUAUAUGUUUUAUUGUUCUUUAGAUACUUAGUAAUUUUAUAAUAAAUUGUCAUUGACACCACUUAAUGUUGUUUUAGAUACUCAAAAUAUUAAAUUGAAAAAAAAAUUAACCCUGUAAUGCCUGAAUCAUUUUGUAGCAUCCCAAAAAAUAUUGGGUUCUAUAAUCUGCAUCUACCCACGUGGUGGCAAAAAUAAAUAAACACUUCUGAA